UAUCAUGAGCUUUGUCCCAAUUUCCUCAUGAGAUACGCCCCUUUCUCAUGAGGAAAUUGGGACAAUCCUCAUGAGAAUUAUGGCUCAUGAGCCGAAAUUCAUGCGUACAAGAUCAUGAGAUCCGACCUUUUCUCAUGAGCCUCGACCCUGACUUUUCUCAUGAGCCUCCUGAUCUUGCCUCAUGAAGCUCUUGAUCUUUUCUCAUGAGCCUCGUGAGAUCACGCUCGUGAGACGACCGCUCGCUGUCCAGACAAUGUAGGUUAUUUACGCAUGCGUGCCAAGGGAAAUAGUCGGUGUGGCUGUGCAGAUGCGCGUAUGGAGUGAAUUCGUCGCUGUUUCCUCGGUAAUUUACUUUUAACAGUUAUAUUUAGUCAACAACUAUAGUGAUACUCUAGCUAGUAAAGUUUCUCUUUGAUCUAGCUAUGCUUGUGCUUGUUGCUAGACACUUUGUUUACAGCUCACCAAAGCUCGUGCUCGUGGAAGCGGAUCUCCCGGAUAGAAUAAUUGAACCAGCGCUAACACAACGGAGAAAGUAGCACGCGCGCACACACACACGCACACACACGCGCGCGCGCGCGCGUUUAUGCUUUAGUUAAUUAAGGAACGUUAAUUUGCAGUGGUAACAUGUUGAAUCCUCUCAGAAGAUACAUUUGCUCUUUCACCUGUGUCUUUUUAGAAAGCAAACAUCUUGAGACUGGGAGAUGUCACAUAGAGUUCCAGAUGACUUGAAGGGAAAUGGUCAAUAUUCUUCAUUGAAGUAUGACACACUAUUUAGGAGAAACAAUUAUACAAGUUUACAAGAGACGAUGAUGCAAAUGCUGAAAUAUUGUACAUAUUUCUGUCUGUUGGAACCUAGCUGGAAGGAUGAGAAGUUUGAACAUGAUCUAACAGCAUCAGUUGUUCAUCCACUAAGAAAUGUUGGUCCUUGUGCUCUUGUUGAAGCAGCUAUGCAAGACGAUGUGAUCACAAACUGGCCAAUUGAGACCUGUAGUUAGCGCAAAGGCUAGAAUAUCUUGAGCUACUUUCUGUAAAUAGAUUACUUUGCAAGUGCGCAUCAAUACUUAAUUGUGAGGGGAGACAUGUAAUUGUUGAAACUCUCAAUGAUAUCGAAGUAGAUCUGUAAUCAUAGAGACCACGCUGCAUGUGAACUUAAUUGAUACAAAUAUAACUAGAAUGGAAA